rnacentral:rRNA from 1 species
UACGUAGGGGGCAAGCGUUGUCCGGAAUUAUUGGGCGUAAGGAGCGCGUAGGCGGUCCGAUAAGUCGGCUGUGAAAGUCAGGGGCUCAACCCUUGAAAGCCGGCCGAUACUGUCGGACUAGAGUCCGGAAGAGGCGAGUGGAAUUCCCGGUGUAGCGGUGAAAUGCGCAGAUAUCGGGAGGAACACCAGUGGCGAAGGCGACUACCUGGCCUGUUCUUGACGCUGAGGAGCGAAAGCGUGGGGAGCGAACAGG